CUUGAACGCUGUCGGCAGGCCUAACACAUGCAAGUCGCACGAGUGGCGGACGGGUGAGUAAUGUCUGGGAAACUGCCUGAUGGAUGGGGCUAACUACUGGAAACGGUAGCUUAUACCGCAUACCAUCGGAUGUGCCCCGAUUGUAUUAACUAGUAGGUGGGGUAAAGGCUCACCUAGGCUACGAUCCCUAGCUGGUCUGCGUGGAUGACCGGCCACACUGGAACUGUUAAACGGUCCAGACUCCUGCGGGAGGCAGCAGUGGGGAAUAUUGCACAAUGGGCGCAAGUCUGUUGCAGCCAUGCCGCGUGUAUGAUGAAGGCCUUCGGGUUGUAAAGUACUUUCAGCGGGGAGGCGUUACCCGCGGAAGAAGCACCGGCUAACUCCGUGCCAGCAGCCGCGGUAAUAC
rnacentral:rRNA from 1 species